rnacentral:tRNA from 1 species
GGUAUCUAGCUCAGUGGUAGAGUGCCUGCCUCGCACGUAUGAGGCACUGGGUUCGAUCCUCAGCACCA